UACAGAGGUCUCAAGCGUUGUUCGGAUUCAUUGGGCGUAAAGGGUGCGUAGGCGGCGCGGUAAGUCGGGUGUGAAAUCUCGGGGCGUAACUCCGAAACUGCAUUCGAUACUACCGUGCUUGAGGACUGGAGAGGAGACUGGAAUUUACGGUGUAGCGGUGAAAUGCGUAGAUAUCGAUAAGGAAGACCAGUGGCGAAGGCGGGUCUCUGGGCCGUAACUGACGCUGAGGAGCGAAAGCAUGGGGAGCGAACAGG
rnacentral:rRNA from 1 species